CACUCCUGACAAACUCCGAAUGCUAUAAAACGAUGUAACGCAGUGAGGGCAUGGGUGCUAAGGUCCAUGUCCGAGAGGGAAAGAACCCAGACCAUCGGCUAAGGUCCCAAAAUAUACACUAAGUUGAACUAACGUGGUUCGAUUGCUUAGACAGCUAGGAUGUUGGCUUGGAAGCAGCCAUUCAUUUAAAGAGUGCGUAACAGCUCACUAGUCGAGCGAUCGAGCGUGGAUAAUAAUCGGGCAUAAGUGUAUUACCGAAGCUGUGGAUUACAUAUUUAUUUAUGUACUGGUAGGGGAGCAUUCUAUGGGCGUUGAAUGUAUCUCGUCAGAGGUGCUGGAGCGCAUAGAAAAGCAAAUGUAGGAAUGAGUAACGAUAAAGCAGGCGAGAAACCUGCUCACCGAUAGACUAAGGUUUCCUGAGCGACGCUAAUCGGCUCAGGGUUAGUCGGGACCUAACGCGAACCCGAAAGGGGUAGUGGAUGGACAACUGAUUAAUAUUUCAGUACUAAUUAUAACUGCGAUGGGGUGACGGAGUAAUGAAAGGUCUGCGCACUGACGGAAUAGUGCGUUAAAGCGUGUAGCUAUAGGUUGAAUAGGUAAAUCCGUUCGACUUGGCCAACGUGAUAGUACCACAAGUCUACGGACGAGUGGAUAAUGACCCUAAGCGCUUCCAAGAAAAACCUCUAAGCUUCAGGUUAUAAUUACCCGUACCGUAAACCGACACAGGUAGUCAAGGAGAGAAUCCUAAGGUGCUCGAGUGAUUCAUGGCUAAGGAACUAGGCAAAAUGGUCUCGUAACUUCGGGAGAAGAGACGCCCCUGAUGUAAGAAUCAGGGGCCGCAGUGAAUAGGCCCAGGCGACUGUUUAUCAAAAACACAGGUCCGUGCGAAGUCGCAAGACGAUGUAUACGGACUGACGCCUGCCCGGUGCUGGAAGGUUAAAGAAGGGGGUUAGCUUCGGCGAAGCCCUUGACUGAAGCCCCAGUAAACGGCGGCCGUAACUAUAACGGUCCUAAGGUAGCGAAAUUCCUUGUCGGGUA
rnacentral:rRNA from 12 species